rnacentral:rRNA from 1 species
AUUGAACGCUGGCGGCAGGCCUAACACAUGCAAGUCGGGCGAGCUGCGGACGGGUGAGUAAUGUAUGGGGAUCUGCCUGAUUGUGGGGGAUAACUACUGUGAACCGUAGCUAAUACAGCAUACCAUCAAAUGCACCAAUAUGGGAUUAGCGUGUGGGUAAGGUAACGGCUUACCUAGGCGACGAUCCCUAGCUGGUCUGAGAGGAUGAUCAGCCACACUGGGACUGAGACACGGCCCAGACUCCUACGGGAGGCAGCAGUGGGGAAUAUUGCACAAUGGGCGCAAGCCUGAUGCAGCCAUGCCGCGUGUAUGAAGAAGGCCUUCGGGUUGUAAAGUACUUUCAGUCUGGAGGCGUUACCGACAGAAGAAGCACCGGCUAACUCCGUGCCAGCAGCCGCGGUAAUAC